rnacentral:rRNA from 1 species
CGUGUAGGCGGCCAUGCAAGUCGGAUGUGAAAGCCCUCGGCUCAACCGGGGAAGUGCACUCGAAACUGCAAGGCUAGAGUCUCGGAGAGGAUCGUGGAAUUCUCGGUGUAGAGGUGAAAUUCGUAGAUAUCGAGAGGAACACCGGUGGCGAAGGCGGCGAUCUGGACGAUGACUGACGCUGAGAGCGAAAGCGUGGGAGCAAACA